AUGGCGCUCAGCCUCAUGCCCCCUUCAAGCAUUGCCCUUCUCACCCCACGGGGUCGCGUCAGAGCCGGGUCAGCGGCGCGGCUGCCGCCGCCGGUGUUCAGGGUCCACGCCGCCUCCUCUUCAAGAAGGCGCAGUGGUGGGAGGAGGCGGCUGACCGUCGUGGCAGCCACGGAGGAGGAGGGUCCCGCAGCGGCGGCGGGGAGGAUGAACCUCAACGAGUACAUGGUCGCCGUCGACCGCCCGCUAGGCCUCCGCUUCGCGCUCGCCGUCGACGGCCGCGUCUUCGUGCACUCUCUCAAGAGAGGGGGAAAUGCAGAGAAGUCGCGGAUCAUAAUGGUUGGGGACACUCUCAAGAAGGCAGGCACUGUCCACAACGAGGGUCUUGUUAGCAUAAAAGACCUAGGUGACACGGAGAUGGUUCUAAAACAAAAGUCAGGACCAUGCAAUCUUGUCCUUGAAAGGCCAGUUGCGCCUUAUCCAAUACACCAGUUGCAUCAAAAUGAAGAUUAUCAUAUCCUAUUUAACAGAGGGAGGGUUUCUCUUCCGACCUGGAAUAGUGCUAUGUUGUCCUCAAAGCUGAAUAAAUCAUCUCCACGAAAUGGGAAAUCUGGUUUUGCUGUAUUUUCCCCAAGGCUACUAAGUUCCCAAGGAUGGGCGCUUUUAUCUAGUGAGAAAGAUGGACUCAAUAGGAAGAGUACGAACCUUGCAAAUUGGAUGAGUGAGAUUGUUGGCUUUUACUCUGAUGAGGAUGACAUGGAUGCUGAAUGGGCACAUGGUAGUUUUCCUUUGGAGGAGUACAUUAAAGCCCUAGACCGUGCUAAAGGUGAACUGUACUAUAAUCAUUCACUUGGUAUGCAAUACAGCAAGAUUACUGAGAAAAUAUAUGUUGGAUCAUGCAUACAAACACAAAAGGAUGUGAAGAUGUUAUCAGAGACGGUGGGUAUUACUUCUGUCCUGAAUUUCCAAAGUGAAAGUGAGCGCAUUAAUUGGGGAAUAAAUUCCGAGGCAAUCAACGAUUCUUGUCGUCAGAACAACAUCUUGAUGAUUAACUACCCUAUCCGAGAGGUGGAUUCCAUGGACCUGAGAAAGAAGCUUCCUUUUUCUGUUGGUCUUCUUUUGCGCCUAAUAAGGAAGAACUACCGUAUAUAUGUGACUUGUACCACUGGAUAUGAUAGAUCACCAGCAUGUGUGAUUGCAUAUCUACAUUGGGUUCAAGAUACACCUCUUCAUAUUGCUCACAAGUUCAUCACUGGGUUGCAUUCAUGUAGACCUGACAGAGCUGCAAUUGUUUGGGCAACUUGGGAUCUCAUUGCAUUAGUUGAAAAUGGAAGACAUGAUGGCACUCCUACACAUUCAGUGUGCUUUGUUUGGAACAAUGGUCGGGAGGGUGAGGACGUGGAAUUGGUGGGGGAUUUUACAAGUAACUGGAAAGACAAAUUAAAGUGCAACCACAAGGGUGGAUCCAGAUAUGAAGCUGAAGUUCGACUUCGACAUGGAAAGUACUACUACAAGUUCAUAGUUGGGGGUAAUUGGAGGCACUCGAGUUCGUUGCCGUCAGAGACAGAUGAACACGGAAACGUCAACAAUGUGAUCAGAGUCGGUGACAUCGCCCGGAUUCGUCCUGCUCCCAGCCAAUUGCAGAUAAAGGAUCCAUCUGUUGUUAAGGUGAUAGAGAGGGCACUGACGGAGGAUGAGCGGUUUUCGCUGGCCUUCGCGGCACGCCUCAUGGCGUUUGCAAUCUGCCCAAUCAGAUUGGCUCCAAAGCAGUAG
rnacentral:rRNA from 1 species